UUUAACAAUGAAGCGAGUGGCGAACUGGUGAGUAACACGUGGGAAUCUGCCCAGAAGCAGGGGAUAACACUUGGAAACAGGUGCUAAUACCGUAUAACAACAAAAUCCGCAUGGAUUUUGUUUGAAAGGUGGCUUCGGCUAUCACUUCUGGAUGAUCCCGCGGCGUAUUAGUUAGUUGGUGAGGUAAAGGCCCACCAAGACGAUGAUACGUAGCCGACCUGAGAGGGUAAUCGGCCACAUUGGGACUGAGACACGGCCCAAACUCCUACGGGAGGCAGCAGUAGGGAAUCUUCCACAAUGGACGAAAGUCUGAUGGAGCAAUGCCGCGUGAGUGAAGAAGGGUUUCGGCUCGUAAAACUCUGUUGUUAAAGAAGAACACCUUUGAGAGUAACUGUUCAAGGGUUGACGGUAUUUAACCAGAAAGCCACGGCUAACUACGUGCCAGCAGCCGCGGUAAUACGUAGGUGGCAAGCGUUGUCCGGAUUUAUUGGGCGUAAAGCGAGCGCAGGCGGUUUUUUAAGUCUGAUGUGAAAGCCUUCGGCUUAACCGGAGAAGUGCAUCGGAAACUGGGAGACUUGAGUGCAGAAGAGGACAGUGGAACUCCAUGUGUAGCGGUGGAAUGCGUAGAUAUAUGGAAGAACACCAGUGGCGAAGGCGGCUGUCUAGUCUGUAACUGACGCUGAGGCUCGAAAGCAUGGGUAGCGAACAGGAUUAGAUACCCUGGUAGUCCAUGCCGUAGACGAUGAGUGCUAAGUGUUGGAGGGUUUCCGCCCUUCAGUGCUGCAGCUAACGCAUUAAGCACUCCGCCUGGGGAGUACGACCGCAAGGUUGAAACUCAAAGGAAUUGACGGGGGCCCGCACAAGCGGUGGAGCAUGUGGUUUAAUUCGAAGCUACGCGAAGAACCUUACCAGGUCUUGACAUCUUCUGCCAAUCUUAGAGAUAAGACGUUCCCUUCGGGGACAGAAUGACAGGUGAUGCAUGGUUGUCGUCAGCUCGUGUCAUGAGAUGUUGGGUUAAGUCCCGCAACAAGC
rnacentral:rRNA from 1 species